rnacentral:rRNA from 1 species
CGUAAGAUAACCUGCCCUAUUGUGGGGGAAUAACUCCUCGAAAGAGGAGCUAAUACCGCAUAAGUUCUCUUUUGUUAGAGAGAGAGGAAAGCUUGGCGCAAGCCUGGCGCGAUAGGAGGGGUCUGCGGCGGAUUAGCUAGAUGGUGGGGUAACGGCCUACCAUGGCGACGAUCCGUAGCUGGUCUGAGAGGACGACCAGCCACACUGGGACUGAGACACGGCCCAG